rnacentral:rRNA from 1 species
GAUGAACGCUAGCGGCAGGCUUAAUACAUGCAAGUCGAGGGGCAUCAAGGUACACGAAAGUGUAUUGUUGGCGACCGGCGGACGGGUGAGUAAUAGGUAGGUAACCUACCUCAUACUGAGGCAUAGCUGGGAGAAAUUCCAGGUAAUUCCUCAUGAGGUUAUAUGACACAUGUGAUAUAAUCAAAGGUAUCGCAAGGUACUGGUAUGAGAUGGGCUUACUGACCAUUAGCUAGUUGGUGAGAUAAGAGCUCACCAAGGCGAAGAUGGUUAGGGGUUUUUGAGAGAGAGAUCCCCCACAUUGGAACUGAGAUACGGUCCAGACUCCUACGGGAGGCAGCAGUAGGGAAUAUUGGGCAAUGGGCGGAAGCCUGACCCAGCCAUGCCGCGUGAAGGAAGACGGCCUUAUGGGUUGUAAACUUCUGUCAUGGGGAAGAGUAAGUGACGGUACCCAAGAGGAAGCCCCUGCUAACUACGUGCCAGCAGCCGCGGUAAAG